AUCCCAGAUAAGCGAGAAGGCUGGUUUCUUCUGAUGCUUAUUCUGUUUCAUCGAAGGCCCAAACUGAUACUGGUAGUUUCGCUGAUAAAUGCCUCUCUCUGAUACUCUGAAUAUUCCGAGGCGUUUACUAGUAACUAUUACCAUACAUUU